CUAUAAUGAUGAUCUCUCUUUAAGAACGGCCAACUGAAAAUAUCAUGUUGAUCAACAAUAUAUCAAGCUCAACAGUCUGAUCU
rnacentral:snoRNA from 1 species